AUCGAACGCUGGCGGCAGGCCUAACACAUGCAAGUCGAGCGGAGCGGCGGACGGGUGAGUAAUGCCUAGGAAUCUGCCUGGUAGUGGGGGAUAACGUCCGGAAACGGGCGCUAAUACCGCAUACUAUCAGAUGAGCCUAGGUCGGAUUAGCUAGUGGGGGGGGUAAAGGCCUACCAAGGCGACGAUCCGUAACUGGUCUGAGAGGAUGAUCAGUCACACUGGAACUGAGCCACGGUCCGGACUCCUACGGGAGGCAGCAGGGGGGAAUUUUGGACAAUGGGCGAAAGCCUGACCCAGCAAUGCCGCGUGUGUGAGGAAGGUCUUCGGAUUGUAAAGCACUUUGAGUUGGGAGGCGUUACCUAAAGAAUAAGCACCGGCUAACUACGUGCCAGCAGCCGCGGUAAUUC
rnacentral:rRNA from 1 species